CCUAUUUAUAUAUUAUAUUAUUCCAAUCAGAACAACUUUUAAUUGUCGAAUUGAAGUGCAAUACAAAGAYGACCUGUGAGGGGGCAGGCACAGGCUGCAAUGGCACACUGCAUAAAGACCAUGAUUACUGCGGUCAUUGCUGCCAAACUGACUACUGCAACAAGCCAGAAAUUGCCAAGUUUGAGAAAAACCAAAACCAAGCACAUACUUUCCACAGCAAUGGACUUCUGAUUCUGCUGGUACUUCUUACCACAUUKUACAGAGCUGUUUGUUGAAAUACAUGGAGACUUUGACCUUGUUUUGAAUGAGUUUCGAAGGUAGCACAUUUGACAUGUGUUUGAAUGUGUCUUAUGUGAACUYGAAGCCUUGUUUGAACACUAUUUAAGUCUCAUACAUGUAAUAUUCCUGGAAUAUUAGUAGUCCAGGGUAAAACAUGCAAGAAUAUAGCAAAUAAGACAAUAAUGUUGCUCAGUCGUAAAGGCAUGAUGAAAAAAAAAAAAAAAAAAAAAAAAAAAAAAAAAAACUAAACCAAAAAAAAAAAAAAAUACAAUUCUUGGGAAGUAUGUCAAUAUUGAAAACCUUCAAUUGAUAAAAAAAAA